ACAGCAGCAGCCGCGGUAAUACGUAGGGUGCAAGCGUUAAUCGGAAUUACUGGGCGUAAAGCGUGCGCAGGCGGUUAUAUAAGACAGAUGUGAAAUCCCCGGGCUCAACCUGGGAACUGCAUUUGUGACUGUAUAGCUAGAGUACGGCAGAGGGGGAUGGAAUUCCGCGUGUAGCAGUGAAAUGCGUAGAUAUGCGGAGGAACACCGAUGGCGAAGGCAAUCCCCUGGGCCUGUACUGACGCUCAUGCACGAAAGCGUGGGGAGCAAACAGGAUUAGAUACCCGAGUAGUCCCUGUUUCUUAUAC
rnacentral:rRNA from 1 species